rnacentral:rRNA from 1 species
UACGGAGGGGGCUAGCGUUGUUCGGAAUUACUGGGCGUAAAGCGCGCGUAGGCGGACCUGCAAGUCGGGGGGUGAAAGCCCGAGGCUCAACCCUCGGAACUGCCUUCGAUACUGCGGGUCUCGAGUCCGGGAGAGGUGAGUGGGAAUUCCUAGUGUAGAGGUGAAAUUCGUAGAUAUUAGGAAGAACACCAGUGGCGAAGGCGGCUCACUGGCCCGGUACCGACGCUGAGGCGCGAAAGCGUGGGGAGCAAACAGG